rnacentral:rRNA from 1 species
UACGUAGGGUGCAAGCGUUGUCCGGAAUUAUUGGGCGUAAAGAGCUCGUAGGCGGUCUGUCACGUCGGCUGUGAAAACCUGGGGCUCAACUCCGGGCCUGCAGCCGAUACGGGCAGACUAGAGUUCGGCAGGGGAGACUGGAAUUCCUGGUGUAGCGGUGAAAUGCGCAGAUAUCAGGAGGAACACCGGCGGUGUAGACGGCUUUCUGGACCGUAGCUGACGCUGAGACACGAAAGCGUGGGUAGCAAACAGG